GGAGAGGUCGCAUAGUGGCCGAGUGCGGCUCCGUGCUAAGGAGUUAGGGGUUUAUAGCCCCUCGAGGGUUCGAAUCCCUCCCUCUCCGCCA
rnacentral:tRNA from 1 species